rnacentral:sRNA from 1 species
CCGGAGCUCUGCAGRAYUCCCACAAUCACUCACUUAAUACAGAACUCCCACAAUCACUCACUUAAUACAGAACUCCCACAAUCACUCACUUAAUACAGAACUCCCACAAUCACUCACUUAAUACAGAACUCCMACAAUCACUCACUUAAUACAGAACUCCCACAAUCACUCACUUAAUACAGAACUCCCACAAUCACUCACUUAAUACAGAACUCCCACAAUCACUCACUUAAUACAGAACUCCCACAAUCACUCACUUAAUACAGAACUCCCACAAUCACUCAYUUAAUACAGAACUCCCACAAUCACUCACUUAAUACAGAACUCCCACAAUCACUCACUUAAUACAGAACUCCCACAAUCACUCACUUAAUACAGAACUCCCACAAUCACUCACUUAAUACAGAACUCCCACAAUCACUCACUUAAUACAGAACUCCCACAAUCACUCACUUAAUACAGAACUCCCACAAUCACUCACUUAAUACAGAACUCCCACAAUCACUCACUUAAUACAGAACUCCCACAAUCACUCACUUAAUACAGAACUCCCACAAUCACUCACUUAAUACAGAACUCCCACAAUCACUCACUUAAUACAGAACUCCCACAAUCACUCACUUAAUACAGAACUCCCACAAUCACUCACUUAAUACAGAASUCCCACAAUCACUCACUUAAUACAGAASUCCCACAAUCACUCACUURAUACRGRACUCCCMCAAUCACUCACUURAUACRGRACUCCCACAAUCACUCRCUURAUACRGRACUCCCACAAUCACUCSSUUAAUACGGGANNNUACAGACUCCCACAAUCACUCACUUAAUACAGAAUUCCCACAAUCACUCACUUAAUACAGAACUCCCACAAUCACUCACUUAAUACAGAACUCCCACAAUCACUCACUUAAUACAGAACUCCCACAAUCACUCACUUAAUACAGAACUCCCACAAUCACUCACUUAAUACAGAACUCCCACAAUCACUCACUUAAUACAGAACUCCCACAAUCACUCACUUAAUACAGAACUCCCACAAUCACUCACUUAAUACAGAACUCCCACAAUCACUCACUUAAUACAGAACUCCCACAAUCACUCACUUAAUACAGAACUCCCACAAUCACUCACUUAAUACAGAACUCCCACAAUCACUCACUUAAUACAGAACUCCCACAAUCACUCACUUAAUACAGAACUCCCACAAUCACUCACUUAAUACAGAACUCCCACAAUCACUCACUUAAUACAGAACUCCCACAAUCACUCACUUAAUACAGAACUCCCACAAUCACUCACUUAAUACAGAACUCCCACAAUCACUCACUUAAUACAGAACUCCCACAAUCACUCACUUAAUACAGAACUCCCACAAUCACUCACUUAAUACAGAACUCCCACAAUCACUCACUUAAUACAGAACUCCCACAAUCACUCAC